CCUACGGGAGGCAGCAGUGGGGAAUCUUGCGCAAUGGGCGAAAGCCUGACGCAGCGACGCCGCGUGNNAGAUGAAGGCCCUCGGGUUGUAAACCCCUUUCGGCAGGGACGAAGCGAAAGUGACGGUACCUGCAGAAGAAGCCCCGGCCAACUACGUGCCAGCAGCCGCGGUAAU
rnacentral:rRNA from 1 species